rnacentral:rRNA from 1 species
UACAGAGACUGCAAGCGUUAUUCGGAUUCACUGGGCGUAAAGGGUGCGCAGGCGGUCGGGUGUGUCAGAUGUGAAAUCCCGAGGCUCAACCUCGGAACUGCGUCUGAAACUACUCGACUAGAGUACUGGAGAGGGUAACGGAAUUCACGGUGUAGCAGUGAAAUGUGUAGAUAUCGUGAGGAACACCAGAGGCGAAGGCGGUUACCUGGACAGUUACUGACGCUCAGGCACGAAAGCAUGGGGAGCAAGCAGG